rnacentral:rRNA from 1 species
AGCGGCAAACGGGUGAGUAACACGUAGCUAACCUGCCUCCGCGACGGGGAUAACAGCUCGAAAGGGCUGCUAAUACCCGAUAUGCUCACGCGGGUGCGCCCGCGCGAGGAAAGCUCCCGCAAGGGAGCGCGCGGAGAGGGGGCUGCGGCCUAUCAGCUAGUUGGUGAGGUAACGGCUCACCAAGGCGAUGACGGGUAGGGGGCGUGAGAGCGUGGCCCCCCACAUGGGGACUGAGACACGGCCCUGACUCCUACGGGAGGCAGCAGUGGGGAAUCUUCGGCAAUGGGCGCAAGCCUGACCGAGCGACGCCGCGUGGGGGAUGAAGGCCUUCGGGUUGUAAACCCCUUUUCAGGGGGAAGAAUAAGUCCGGGAGGCAAUGCCCGGGCGAUGACGGUACCCCUGGAAGAAGCCACGGCUAACUCUGUGCCAGCAGCCGCGGUAAGACAGAGGUGGCGAGCGUUACCCGGAUUCACUGGGCGUAAAGGGUGCGUAGGCGGUUGUGCGUGUCGUCGGUGAAAUCUCCCUGCUCAACGGGGAGAGGUCCGACGAAACUGCACGGCUGGAGGGCCGGAGAGGGAGGCGGAACUUCCGGAGUAGCGGUGAAAUGCGUAGAUACCGGAAGGUACCUCAAUAGCGAAGGCAGCCUCCUGGCCGGUUCCUGACGCUGAGGCACGAAAGCGUGGGGAGCAAACCGGAUUAGAUACCCGGGUAGUCCACGCCCUAAACGAUGCCGACUAGGUGUUGGCCUCGCACAUGCUGGGCCAGUGCCGCAGCUAACGCGAUAAGUCGGCCGCCUGGGGUGUACGGCCGCAAGGUUGAAACUCAAGGGAAUUGACGGGAGCCCGCACAAGCGGUGGAGCACGUGGUUCAAUUCGAUGGUAAGCGAAGACCUUACCAGGGCUUGACAUGCUCGUCGUA